rnacentral:lncRNA from 1 species
UUUCAAAUUUUCAUAUGUACUUUUUUACUCGAUAUUCCAUCUUCAUUCUUAAUUUUUUAAAAAGAAAUUUCAUACAUUCAUUUCACCAAAAGAAAAAAAACUAAUAUAAUUAAUGACUCACGGAUUAAAAAAUAUAGCUUUUGGUGAUGGAGAAUUAUUGUUUCAUUGAAAAAGUAUAAAUUUUUUAGUGUUUCUUUGAUAAUUUUAUUUUUUUGGCAGACUAAAUUCAAUGGAUUUUUUUGGCAUACCUAAUUCAACGACUUUUAUUUUGACAUAUCCAAUUCAAUGGAGUAAUUUUCAUCAAUUUCAUAAUCAAUUACCGCUGUAUCGUUGAUAUAAUUUCUCUUAAUGUGUGAAAUUUCAAUAAAAAGGCAUAGAUCUAAACGAAAGGAAAAAUAAGGUACUAAGGACAAGAAAACAUUGAUGACAAUUUUGUGAUGGUGUUGUUGUAACUGUUGGGUGGUGAAGAAGAAGAAAUUGAAAGUGACUUUCGACGGCGAUGAUGGUGAUUUCAAUGAUAGAUUUGAUUAUGGGUGUUGAAGUUUGUGGUGUUU